UACGGAGGGUGCGAGCGUUGUCCGGAAUCACUGGGCGUAAAGGGCGCGUAGGCGGCCGUGUAAGUCACUUGUGAAAUCCCGGGGCUCAACCCCGGGGCUGCAGGUGAGACUGCGUGGCUAGAGCACGGUAGAGGCGAGUGGAAUUCCCGGUGUAGCGGUGGAAUGCGUAGAUAUCGGAAGGAACAUCAGUGGCGAAAGCGACUUCCUGGACCAAUACUGACGCUCAUGUGCGAAAGCGUGGGGAGCAAACAGG
rnacentral:rRNA from 1 species